rnacentral:rRNA from 1 species
UACGGAGGGUGCAAGCGUUAUCCGGAUUCACUGGGCGUAAAGGGUGCGUAGGUGGCUUUGUAAGUCAGUGGUGAAAUCUUAGAGCUUAACUCUAAAACUGCCAUUGAUACUGCUUAGCUUGAAUCAAGUAGAGGUGGAUGGAAUAUUACAUGUAGCGGUGAAAUGCUUAGAUAUGUAAUAGAACACCGAUUGCGAAGGCAGUUCACUAUGCUUGUAUUGACACUGAGGCACGAAAGCGUGGGGAUCAAACAGG